CCCAAAUUCUCUCCUAAUGGUCCAUAUUUGGGGUGAGGGAAACAUCCUAGGAAUGAUCUCUUAUACCCUAAAGUGUUUGCCGCUGUCAAUCCUUUCUGAAUCCUUCGACCCAUUCUCUGUUUUGAAUCCUUGUUGCUCUUUCAGGAAAAGGAUCUGUUUGCAGAAAUGGACAUUGAUUCCUUUGAGACAGAGAGGAUUCCAUUCGACACCAAAGAGAGGCCACUGGGUAAGGAGGAAGGGUUUUUUUCUCCAUUUGGUCACAUUCUGUGGAUUUGGAAACUAAUCUGCGAGUUCUUUUAAUCUUCUUAGAUUAAAACUGUUAUGUAUUGAAGUUCUCACCCUGGCCAAAAGGAGUAUUGUGUAUGUAGUUUUCACUCAGGUCCACGUCAGUUAUUUUAGGCGGGAAACCCUGGGCUGUUGUUGCUACAAUGUUGACAGCCGGCUGCCUAUAAAAGCAGGCCGGCUGAGCUGUUUGCUGCUCAGUUCUGUUCCAGCUUACAAAUAAAGAGCUGCUUUGAAGAAAUCGCUGCGUCGUCUGCUAUGUCUACCUAAAAACAUAAAAUACUUUAUAUAAAAUAUAAAAAUAUAAAAUGGGUACAAGAAUCUUGCAUGCACUCAGCAGGUGGCGCUGUGGUCUAAACCACUGAGCCUCCUCUUGGACUUGCUGACAGCAAGGUCAGCAGUUCGAAUCCCCUGACAGAGUGAGGUCCUGUUGCUCUAUCCCAACUUCUGCCAACCUAGAAGUUCAAAAGCACACCAGUGGAAGUAGAUAGUGGUAUCUCGGGUUACAGAUGCUUCAGGUUACAGACUCUGCUAACCCAGAAAUAGUACUUCAGGUUAAGAACUUUGCUUCAGGAUGAGAACAGAAAUCGCGUGGCGGAAGCGGCAGCAGGAGGCCCCAUUAGCUAAAGUGGUGCUUCAGGUUAAGAACAGUUUCAGGUUAAGAAUGACGCACAGAGUAAAUUAAUAAUGCAGAGUUGUUAAGUGAAAGAAUAAGAGCUUUACUGAGUUAAAAUAAACUUCUUCAUCAACAACAUGGUUCCAAACAGUUUGACUGAGCUUACAUACUGGCUCUGCUCACAACUGACUCUGACUGAAAUCUUACUGAGAACACAGAGAGAAAAUGGCUGCUACUUCUAAGGAGAAUGAGUCCCAUGUCAGAGCGACUCCACAGUUAGCAGUUAGGCCUGAAUAACUUUCUUAGGCCCAAAUGACUGUGCAGUCCCAGCACUUCCCAGCCUGCUUUGCUGCUUCUGCUCUCAUGUGUCUUAGUCACAUGACCUCCAGAAAGAAUUAAGUUCUUAACGUGAGGUACCACUGUAAAUAGGUGGCGCUGCAGCAGGAAGGUAAACGGUGUUUCCAUGCGCUCUGGCUUCUGCCACGGUGUCGUCUUGCGCCAGAAGCAGUUUAGUCCUGCUGGCCACAUGACCCGGAAAGCUGUCUGAGGACAAAUGCUGGCUCCCUCAGCCUGCAGUGAGAUGAGCGCUUCACCCCAUAGUCCCCUUUGACUGGACUUAACCGUCCAGGGGUCCUUUGCCUUUACCUUUUACUACUAAAAGCACCGAGUGCUUUUCCAGCUGCACUCGCUCACGGUGAAGUACAGGGUCGGAUUUAAGGUCCUGGUUUUGACCUUUAAAGCCCUUCACGGCCUGGGACCCUCGUACCUACGGGACCGCCUCUCCCGGUCUGCCCCAUGGAGAGCCUCAAGGUCCGUAAAUAGCAACACCCUAGUGGUCCCGGGCCCUAAGGAGAUUAGAUUAGCUUCAACCAGAGCCAGGGCCUUUUCAACACUGGCUCCGGCCUGGUGGAACGCUCUGUCUCAUGAGACCAGGGCCCUGCAGGAUCUGAUUUCUUUCCACAGGGCCUGUAAGACAGAGUUGUUCCGCCUGGCCUUUGGCUUGGAGCCAAUUUGAUUCCCUCCCUCCCUCUCUUUCUUUUUCCUUUUCCCUUUUCUCCUCCUGUGAUGAGGCUGCAUUUUAAUAUUUUAAUGUUUCAAUAUUUUAAUGUUGUAUUUAAAUUUUGUUUUUAAGUUGUAUUCAUUCAACUUGUUUUUAUUAUUGCUUGUUAGCCGCCCUGAGCCCAGCCUUGGCUGGGGAGGGCGGGGUAUAAAUGAAAAUUAUUAUUAUUAUUACUACUAUUUCUUUGGUCCGUCUGUGGUUAGAGAUGCACUAAUUCGCCUCUGAGGAAAGCAUGCACUCAUGGUCUCCCACCUCCCUUUAUUUCUCGCAGGUGACAGAAGGAUGCCAGCAAGACCUCCUCAUCCAUCUUUCCAUGGUAGCGGAGAGGAGGCAGUGGCUGUAGAACCAGAUGAGGUAAGGGAAGGAGCAUUGUGGAGAAAGGAGCAGUCAUGGUUCCUCUGAGGCUGAGGAAAUCUCUCUCUUCCUGCUCUGUCUUACUGCUGUAUUGAUGGUGGAAUGCUGGUAUAUGUUGGGAAGCUGGUAAGAAACCAUAGAAAAAAGUUGCCAGGAUUCACCUCAUCAGUUGCCCAGUGGGCUUCUUCCCACUUUCCUCCUGCUCUCCGUGCCCCCAUGCGCCCCCUGAACUUUGCUUUUGCGCAUCAGGAGAGUUCCACCCCAGAACUGCGCACAGGGAGAGUAAAGGGGGGAUCCUUCUCACUGGCAACAGGAAUGCUUUCACAGACAUAUUUGUGAUUUGAAAUCCACUAUGUGGAGUUCCACCCAUUUAUACAAAGAUGAAUACCCAUCAUUUAAAGACACGAUAAAAAAUGCCAUUAAAACAACAACACAGUUAACAUGUAGAAAGCAACAGAGCAAUGUCAUGGAAUCAUUAAGAAAAAAAGCACUGAGUUAUACCAUAAAACUAUAUAUCAAUGAAAAUAUAAUUUAAUGAAGAAUGUAAUGCAAUAACUUUUAUGAAGGAUUAUUUAUUGCAACAGCAGUCAUAAAGAAGAAACGUGAAACACACAGAAAAAAUGAGAUAUACAGGUUAAUUGCCAUGUUGCCACUUUGUGAUAAGUAAGUGGGUUUUGGGUUGCAGUUUGGGCACUCGGUCUCUAAAAGGUUUGCCAUCACUGCCCUAGAUCAGUGGUUCAAGUAGGUAGCCAUGUUGGUCUGCCGUAGUCGAAAUAAAUUAAAACAAUUCUUUUAGAAGAUAUUUAAAAAGACUCUUCUUUUUAAUGGGUUUCUUUUUAUUUAUUUUAAUCUGCCUUUUCUAAGAGCUCACAGACCGACUGUUUCAUUCUCUGUUCUAGGACCUUUCUUGGUACUGAUAACACUCUCACUGGUCAGUCAUUACCUGUGUAGUAGGUGAUCUUUAUGCUAAGAGGAAGAUACUUUUUUUUUCCUUUUAGGGUCCAGUGUGCUUUGAAGAUGUAGCUGUUCAUUUCACAGACGAGGAGUGGGCGUUGCUGGAUCCUGACCAGAGAGCUCUGCAUAAGGAAGUCAUGGAGGAGAAUCGUGGGGUCAUGGACUCGCUUGGUAAGGCUCCCUGUUGGAUUGUGAUAUCUGUUUUGAAAUUCUAUGUGACAAACCUAUAUCUUGAUAUUUUUCAAGAACGCUGCUUCUUGCAUCUGGGAUUCUAAGACUCUUGCAGCUCACGCUGGAUGUGGGGCUAUCUGCUGUUUGGUCUGUAAAUAUUCUUCCUUCAGUAAUGCCUUUUUAAACCAUGAUCUGGCUGGACUGAACUGCCCAAGCCUUUUAAAAUGUAGGUUUUAAAGAUGUUUGAGAAGUUGUUUGGGAAGUUGAAGAAACUUCAGUCAGGCGUUUUGUUUUUGUUGUGUCCAUUUUUGUUUGACGAAUGAGAUGAGAUUGGUGAUGUUUCGGCUCAACAAAAGAAGUAAAAGAAAAGAUCCUGGCCUUUUUCAUAGAAUCAUAGAAUCAUAGAAUCAUAGAGUUGGAAGAGACCACAAGGGCCAUCGAGUCCAACCCCCUGCCAAGCAGGAAACACCAUCAGAGCACUCCUGACAUAUGGUUGUCAAGCCUCUGCUUAAAGACCUCCAAAGAAGGAGACUCCACCACACUCCUUGGCAGCAAAUUCCACUGUCGAACAGCUCUUACUGUCAGGAAGUUCUUCCUAAUGUUUAGGUGGAAUCUUCUUUCUUGUAGUUUGGAUCCAUUGCUCCGUGUCCGCUUCUCUGGAGCAGCAGAAACAACCUUUCUCCCUCCUCUAUGUGACAUCCUUUUAUAUAUUUGAACAUGGCUAUCAUAUCACCCCUUAACCUCCUCUUCUCCAGGCUAAACAUGCCCAGCUCUCUUAGCCGUUCCUCAUAAGGCAUCGUUUCCAGGCCUUUGACCAUUUUGGUUGCCCUCCUCUGGACACGUUCCAGUUUGUCAAUGUCCUUCUUGAAGUGUGGUGCCCAGAACUGGACACAGUACUCCAGGUGAGGUCUGACCAGAGCAGAAUACAGUGGCACUAUUACUUCCCUUGAUCUAGAUGCUAUACUCCUAUUGAUGCAGCCCAGAAUUGCAUUGGCUUUUUUAGCUGCCGCGUCACACUGUUGGCUCAUGUGAAGUUUGUGGUCAACCAAGACUCCUAGAUCCUUUUCACAUGUACUGCUCUCAAGCCAGGUGUCCCCCAUCUUGUAUUUGUGCCUCUCAUUUUUUUGCCCAAGUGCAAUACUUUACAUUUCUCCCUGUUAAAAUUCAUCUUGUUUGUUUUGGCCCAGUUCUCUAAUCUGUCAAGGUCGUUUUGAAGUGUGAUCCUGUCCUCUGGGGUGUUAGCCACCCCUCCCAAUUUGGUGUCAUCUGCAAAUUUGAUCAGGAUGCCCUUGAGUCCAUCACCCAAGUCGUUGAUAAAGAUGUUGAAUAAGACCGGGCCCAAGACAGAACCCUGUGGCACCCCACUAGUCACUCUUCUCCAGGAUGAAGAGGAACCAUUGAUGAGCACCCUUUGGGUUCGGUCAGUCAGCCAGUUACAAAUCCACUGAGUGGUAGCAUAGUCAAGACCGCAUUUUACCAGCUUCUUUACAAGAAUAUCAUGGGGCACCUUGUCAAAUGCCUUGCUGAAAUCAAGGUAGGCUACAUCCACUGCGUUCCCUUCAUCCACCAGGCUUGUAAUUCUGUCAAAAACGAGAUCAGGUUAGUCUGACAUGACUUAUUUUUCAGAAAUCCAUGCUGACUAUUGGUGAUCACAGCAUUCCUUUCUAGGUGCUCACAGACUGUUUGCUUAAUGAUCUGCUCCAGAAUCUUCCCUGGUAUUGAUGUCAGACUGACUGGGCGGUAAUUAUUUGGGUCCUCUCUUUUCCCCUUUUUGAAAAUAGGGACAACAUUUGCCCUCCUCCAGUCUGCCGGGACUUCGCCUGUUCUCCAGGAAUUCUCAAAGAUGACUGCCAGUGGUUCUGAGAUCACAUCUGCCAGUUCUUUUAAUACUCUUGGAUGCAGUUCAUCUGGCCCUGGAGACUUGAAUACAUCUAAACUAGCCAAGUAUUCUUGUACUAUCUCCUUAGUUAUUCUGGGCUGUGUUUCCUUUGCUGAAUCAUUUGCUCCAAAUUCUUCAGGUCGGGCAUUGUUUUCUUUAUCGGAGAAGACUGAGGCAAAGAAGGCAUUGAGGAGUUCAGCUCUUUCUGUGUCCCCUGUUUGCAUUUCACCAUCUUCUCCUCCUUUUUAUCUUUGUUGUUCCGAUAUUUAAGAGCUGCAUUUCUUCCUGAAGCUCUAAUGAAUUUCUCUCUUGAUUGCAGGUGCUGAAGAAUUGCAAAUGAAGAAUGAGGGAGACCCCGACAGAAUCCACAUACAGGAGAAGCCGCUUAAAUAUUCAGGGUCUGGAAAGAGAUUCAGUCAGAGCUCCCACUCAACUUCCAAUCUAACAAAUCUCUUGGGGAAGAAACAAUAUCAGUGUUUGGAAUGUGGAAAGAACUUCUGUCGGAAAUCCAACCUCACUUCUCAUCAAAUAACUCACAGCACAGAGAAACCAUAUCAGUGCCAAGAAUGUGGAAAGAGUUUCAGCUGGAAGAGAAGUUUCACCUCCCACCAAAAAAUUCAUACAGGGGAAAAACCCUAUCAGUGUUUGGAAUGUGGAAAGAACUUCAGUCGAAAGGAUGCUUUCACCUUCCAUCAAAGAAUUCAUACAGGGGAGAAACCAUAUCAGUGCAUGGUAUGUGGAAAGAGCUUCAGUCGGAAGCAAAGUCUAACUUUCCAUCAAAGAAUUCAUACCGGGGAGAAACCCUAUACGUGCUUAGAAUGUGGAAAGAGCUUCCGUCAGAAGGAUAGUCUCACUUCCCAUCAAAGAAUUCAUACAGGGGAGAAACCAUAUCAGUGCUUAAAAUGUGGGAAGGGGUUCUAUGGGAAGAAUAUGCUCACUUCUCAUGAAAAAAUUCAUACAGCGGAUAAACCCUAUCAGUGCUUGGAAUGUGGAAAGAGUUUCCGUCAGAAGAGUGAGCUCACUUCCCAUCAAAGAACUCAUACAGGGGAGAAACCAUAUGAGUGCAUGGAAUGUGGAAAGAGCUUCACUCACAGAGCUGGCCUCGUGUACCAUCAAAGAUUCCAUACAGGGGAAAAACCAUAUGAGUGCUUGGAGUGUGGAAAAAAAUUCAGUUGGAAGAAUAUGCUCACUUCGCACCAAAUAAUUCACACAGGGGAGAAUCCCUAUCAGUGCUUGGAAUGUGGAAAGAGCUUCAGUCGCAAGGAUAGUCUGACUCUCCAUCAAAGGAUUCAUACAGGGGAUAAACCAUAUCACUGCUUAGAAUGUGGAAAGAGCUUCACCCAGAGGGCCGCUCUCAUGUCCCAUAAAAGAAUUCAUACAGGGGAGAAACCGUAUAAGUGCUUGGAAUGUGGAAAGAACUUUGCUCACAAAGCUGGUCUCAUGUCCCAUCAAAGAAUUCAUACAGGGGAGAAACCAUAUGAGUGCUUGGAAUGUGGAAAGAGGUUCAGCUGGAAGAAUAUGCUCACUUCCCACAAGAUAAUUCACACAGGGGAGAACUAUCCAUGCUUGGAAUGCGGAAAGAGCUUCAGUCGGAAGGAUAGUCUGACUUCCCAUCAAAUAAUUCAUACAGGAGAGAAACCUUAUCAGUGCUUGGAAUGUGGGAAGGGGUUCUAUGGGAAGAAUAUUCUCACUUCUCAUCAAAAGGUUCAUACAGGGGAAAAACCCUAUUUUUGCCUGGAAUGUGGAAAGAGUUUCCGUCAGAAGAGCGAGCUCACUUCCCAUCACAGAAUUCAUACAGGGGAGAAGCCAUAUCAGUGCUUGGAGUGUGGAAAGAGGUUCACUCACAGAGCUGGUGUCAUGUACCAUGAAAGAAUACAUACAGGAGAGAAACCAUAUGAGUGCUUGGAGUGUGGAAAGAGGUUCAGCUGGAAGAAUAUGCUCACUUCCCACCAAAUAAUACACACUGGGGAGAAUCCCUAUCCUUGUUUGGAAUGUGGAAAGAACUUCACUCGGAAAGAUAGUCUGACUUCCCAUCAAAGAAUUCAUACAGGGGAGAAACCGUAUCAGUGCCUGGAAUGUGGAAAGAGCUUCACUCAGAGAGCCAGUCUUAUGUACCAUCAAAGAAUUCAUAUGAGAAGGAACCAUAUUGGUCCUUGGAAGGUGGAAGAGCUUCAAUCAGAGGGCCAGUCUCACUUCUCAUCAAUUAACUUACCGUGGGGAGAAACCAUAUAAGUUUUGGAAUGUAGAAAGAGCUUUACCCACUCACUGUCAAAGAAUUCAUAUGUUGGAAACCAUGGAAAUGCUUGUAAUGUGAAAUGAGCUUCAGCUGUAGCUCCAAUUUCACUUUGCAUCAAGAAACUCACAUUGAGGAGAAUCAUAGAGUCUCAGAAUUAUGGAGUUGUAGCAUUUGAGAGGACUCUGUGUGUUGUCUAGUUCACCCAUCUGGAAUGCAGGAAUCUACACUAUGCCAGAUGAGCAUGCAACCUCUGCUUAAAAACCUUCAUGGAAGGAGAACCCACCUCCUUCUGAGGCAGCCUGUUCCACCGUUGAAUAGCUCUUACUCGUGGAAGGUUCUUCCUGAUUUUUAGUCUGAUUCUCUUUUCUUGCAACUUGCAUCCAUUGCUUCAGGUCCUAUCUUCCAGAGCAGAACAAAACAGCCUUUCUUCAUCUUGUCCCCUCUUCCAUGAGACAGCCCUUGAGAUAUUUGAAGAUGGCUAUUAUAUCUCUUCUCAGUGUCUUCUUUUCUAGGCUGACCAUUCCUCAUAAGGCUUGGUUUCCAGACCCUUGAACGUCUUGGUCACCCUCCUCUGCACCCAUUCUGGAUGGCUUGUUUUUUGUUCCUGUUCCAUGGUGUUAGGGACUGGGCAGAGGAGGAAUGGUGGAGACCACCUCCCCAGCCUGACCUUUCCAGAGAAGAAGACAGUUCAGAAUUACAACAGGGGUUUGAGGGAGGUCACAGCUCAGAGGCAGAUGAGGGGGAAAGCUGGGAAAUAAGGGGACAUGAGAUGGAGGAAGAGGAAUCACCAGGAGGGCAAUAGCUGACAGACACAGUGUCUUUAGAAAGCAUUCUAGACCCCCCUCUCCCAGAACCCGGCAAGCCUUGAAAGUACAGUGGUACCUCGGGUUACAUACACUUCAGGUUACAGACUCUGCUAACCCAGAAAUAUUACUUUGGGUUAAGAACUUUGCUUCAGGAUGAGAACAGAAAUCGUGCUCUGGCGGUGCAGCAGCAGGAGGAGACCCCAUUAGCUAAAGUGGUGUUUCAGGUUAAGAACAGUUUCAGGUUAAGAACAGACCUCCAGAACGAAUUAAAUUCUAAACCCAAGGUACCACUGUAGAGCAAAGGGCCCUCAGCGCCACCCGUAGGGGAGAAGGUGACAAAUGAGGGAGAAAAAGGGAAGAAGAAGAAGAGUUUGGAUUUGAUAUCUCGCUUUAUCACUACCCGAAGGAGUCUCAAAGCAUCUAACAUUCUCCUUUCCCUUCCUCCCCCACAACAAACACUCUGUGAGGUGAGUGGGGCUGAGAGACUUCAGAGAGCUGUGACUAGCCCAAGGUCACCCACCAGCUGCAUGUGGAGGAGCGGCGACGCGAACCCGGUUCACCAGAUUACGAGACUACCACUCUUAACCACUACACCACACUGGCUCCCAGGGAGUGGAGAGUCACGCAGGACAACGCCAUUAGUCCCAGAGGCUGCGUUCCAAGCCUCUGUCUGUAAAUAUUGAAUAAAAAGCAGAUGGUAAGGACUUUUCAUUGUCUGUUCCUGGCAACCUGCUGUAGGGGCUGUUUCCUCUGCUGCCUGACAUGUAGACUAGUCUGACUUUUAUUGUAUGUCAAAAAAUUCAUUAAAUUUCCUUCUGCCCUCACUCUUUUGGAUGCUUCCUUGAUUUCAUUCACCAACGCAGGAUCACUCUG